rnacentral:lncRNA from 1 species
CUCUUGGCAAAAAAGAGUCCAGGCUCCCUGGAUUAUUUUAUGUUCCCCAAUAUUUGCUGUUUCUUGGUUAUUUUGAAGAAUGUGAUAUCUCUACUUAAGGAGUAUGAACCAUGUAUGUUAGUAUAGAUGCAAAAAAAAUGCAUGAUAUUCAAUUUAUGGACCAUGUCUAUACAUUAUAUGAAUAAUUUUGAAAGGAUUAAAGAAACAAAGGAGUUUAAUUUGUUCAUGUUUGUUUUGAAAGAUGAGUUAGAAGUAGGUUACUCUCCGGGGUGGUGCUAGAUUUGAGGUAGGGUGGUAUGCUGGGCCAAAAUUAAGGAAUUUGAAUUCUGUGUCUGAUCGCUACUAAAUGGCCAUGUGAAUUUGAGGAAAUCCCUACACAUUUCUGAGUUUCUUUAAUAACUCUCAAAUAAAAAUAAAUAAAAUAGUCUUAGUCACCUCUAAUAUGCUUCACUACUAAAUUUCUUUUUUUCCUUGCUUUUAAAUUUUUUAUAUUUGAAGAAAAAUGAUUGACUGUAAUGUGAUAAAAUGGGCUGAAUAUAUAUACCAUGUCCAAGAGUGUUUCAAUGCCUAUAGGAAUUGAUGCUUUUAAUCCUGACAAUAACCUCAGGAGACGUGAAGUAUUAUUAUCAUUCCCAUUUUACAGAUAAGGAAACUGCAAAGCUUUGAGGCAUAGCAAAGUUCAGCAACUUGCUUGUGAUCACAUAGAGAGUAGUGGCACCAUGUUUUAAGCCUGGACAGUCUCAUUCCAGAGCACAGUGCCCUUAAGAAUACUUGCAGGCAUAACUGCUUGGACAUGCUCAGGAUUGGACAAAGGGAGAGGUAUUUUGAAAUUACUCUUCAUAUUUAAUGCACAGAAUGUUAUGUUCCUAUGUAGUCCUAUUUCAGACUGGUGUUAGAUUAUAAAAAAUUUAAAGUAUACCUGUAUUUGUGUUCUGUUGAGUAUUCAAAUGCACACUUAUAUUGUUUUACAAGGAAUAAUAAGUAAUACUCUUUUUAGUGCUUUAUUAUAUGGAAGUUUUAGAAUCAUAUUAAAACAUGCUUGUAUAAAAUAAGUGCUCAAUUAAAAUAUGUGUUAACUUUAAAGUUCUUUGAAAUUGGAAAAAAUACUAAAUAUAGGAACAGUUCAAAAAAUUACUAUGUACUUCCACUGUAAUGGCGCCUUAAUUCAUAAAAAGGCUUUCAUCCAAAUGAGAGUAAAAGGCAUCUCAUAAUGUUUGCCUUAUGCUUAAAGGAGUAUCAGAUGACAGGUAAAGAGAGGGGUUUUUCCAUUUACCAAGUGUGGUUAACACUGUUCAAGGUCACAAUGAGUUGGAGAAGCAAGGAAAGCCAUUGAACUUGUGAGAGUUAGGAGAGACUCCAACAUUUUUAGAAACAUAGAUGUAAACUACAAAAAUUAAUUUUCAUUUCAGAAGGUAUGCUAUUAUGAGUGCCUUAUAAUUUUAGAAGUGUCUCAUAUCCUGGUGAUUUUGUUUUAAUGCCAUUUAAAAACUUCACAUUUUAAAGUGAUGGAAAUUGUAACAGGAAUGCAAUUGCUAAGAAUAUGCAUUCUCUGUUAGCUAUGGCAUCAAAUCGAAUUGUGCUUUUCAAUUAAGAAUAUAGCUGAGCCUUUAACGCAAAGACAUCAAUUCUAUGUUUUUCUAUCCUGUUUUGAAUCUUUUUGUGUGGUCUUUGUGUGUUUGAAAGAACAAGGUUGAGAAGCAGUGAAUAUUUUAAAAAGAUACUUCUAUAAAUUGCUUUUUACAGGUAGGGUUUCAAAUAGGAGACAUAAGAGGAAUUAUUGUACCAUUGUUUUUUAUGUGUGUGUUGGAUCAGUGUUGGUUGCUAUUUUGAACCAGUUUAAAAAAAAUAGAAUCUCUUGUCUCUAGUCAAGAAUGAUUAUAUAAAGUAUAAUGCUUUGCUUUUCCUGUGAUACUUAAGAUAUGACACUUAGCUAUCAAAGCUAAGAAAGAUUUUCAACACCUUUUCCUAUGUUACAAUUAUUUAGUAGGAAUUACUUCAGAGUCAUUUUCAAGUGUUUUUAUGUAAAUAGCUGGUCUCUGUGUUAUUGAACAAAUGCACAAAUGUGUUUUGUUUACAACAAACAAACACAGCCUCACAUGUACGGCCUCACAUUUUAUCCUCACAACUCUGGGAGGUGGAGAUCACAAGUUUCACCAUCCAUAUUUUUCAAAUAGGGAAGUUCAAGCUCAGAACUGCCCAAGGUCACAUAACUGUAAAAGGGAAGCCUGUGGUCUGAACACAGGUUUUCUAUUCCAAAUACCCAGCUGAGUCACAAGUACCCUUUGUAGCAAAGAAAAUAUGGGCAUGGGUAUGAUUAGAGAGUGUAUUUUUUUCCUUGAUAUUACACCAUAUUUCCUCUUAUCCUCUUGGUUCAGAAGAUUUAAUGCCAAAAUGACCUACCUGAUCUGUUUUUCUUUGUUUAUUUUAAAGCAGAAUCUACAUUAUCACACCUUCUGGUCCCUAUUCUUCUCUUGAUUGGCUGGAUUGUGGGAUGCAUCGUAAUGGUUUAUGUUGUCUUCUCAUAGAAAGGCAAGAAGACUUCAGAUUGACAUCAUUUAGAAGAAUUAAGAAAAUCAUGAAAAUGACAAGAUAAUUAAACGUUUCUCAUGUAAAUAACAGCAAUGUUUGACAUCAGUUUAUAAACUUGGAUUUGUAAACUGGUUCUUUAGUGGGCUUAAGAAUCACUUUAGAAGCAUGUUUAAAAUUCUGGGUACAAAUAAGAACUACAAGAAAAUAUAGAUGAAUUUCUCUAUAAGCUUGGGGUAGAAAAAAAUGCUCUCAACCAUGACUUAAAAUGGAUAAGCAAUAGGAAGUUUUGUAACUUAUAUUAGAAAAUUUUGGUCAUCCCUCAGAUAUAUAGAAUAUGUAGAAAAAUAUAUAGAAAAAUGAGUUAGAGAUACAAUGAGCUAGAGAUACGAAGAGAUAGUUCACAGAAAACAAAAAUUUAAGUAUAAACUUAACCUUUAACCUCUUUUAAUAAGAGAACUAUAAUUAACAGUGCAUUUAAGAACCAUUGCUCAGCUUUAAGAUAGGAAAAAAUGAAGAUAUUUGGCAAUAUAUGUACUGGGAAAGCUUGCAGAAGUAACUAUGCUCAAAUACUGUCUUUAGAAAUUCAUAACGGCACAUUAUUAGGGGUGUUUGGCAAAGUACCAAAAUUACAUAUGUAUUUAACAUUUGACUCAGCUAUCCCUCUUCUAAGAAUAUUGACAUUUCCACAAGUCUUUUGAUAAAAACACAAAAUGGUAUAUGUACAAGUCUAUUCAUUAUGGCAUAAUUUCUUAGAUCAAAACUCUGGAAAAAGCCAAAUGUCUAUUAAUAGAAGACUAACUGAAUAAACUGUGGUCUGUCUACAUACUGUGGCACUUAGGCCACUGUAAAAAGGAAUGAAGGGGAUCCCUUGAUACCGAUGUGAUGGCACCUUCAGGUAUGGAGCAAUGUAUUGUGUUGAAAAGGAGAGCCUAUACCAAUAUGCACAUAUGCUUGCUUAUAUGAACAUAUUGGGACAGAGGAGCCACGAGUGGCAAGAUAAUCUUUGAGUGACCCUCAUUUUGGAACCAAGUAAAUAUUUUAUAAAUUAAAAAAAAAGAAAAAGUAAUCCUCCAAAUUUAAAGUAAAUUGAAACGAACCUAAUAGUAUAUCAUGUUAGUGAUGGACUUUUUAAAACACAGGUUGCUGGCCUCACUUGAAGAAUUUCUGAUUCAGAGAUCUGGGGUGGAGGCCUAAGACUUUCAUUUCUAACAAGUUUUCAGAUAAUGCUGAUGCUGCUGGCCCAGAAUGGGGAGUUUGAGAACCACUGCUGUAGAAGUGCUAAGGUCUGAAUGUCUGUGUCCCUGCAAAAGUCACAUGUUGAAAUCCUAAUCCCUACAGAUGAUGGUAUUGGUGGGGGGUUGGGAAGUGACUAGGUCUUGAGUGUGGAGCCCUAGUGAAUGAGAUUAGUGCCCUUAUAAAAGAGGCCCCAGAGAGCGCCCUAGCCCUUGUACCUUGUGAGGAUACAAUGAAAAGUCUGUGACAGAAGAGGGCCUCACUUGAACCUUGCCAUGCUGGCACUCUGAUCUUGAACUUCCAGCCUCUAGAACUGUGAGUAAAACAUGUUUGUUGUUUAUAAGCUACUCACCCAGCUAUUUGGUAAUAGCAACCCAAGUGGAUUAAGAAGGGAUCCAGUUUCUUCCUUAUAACUAUGGCAUACUUGCAUAUUCAAUUAAUUUUUCUACAUAAAUUAAUCUCAUCAAAAAAAUUGGAGAAAGCUUUGGUUUUGUUCCUUGACUCUUUUAAACUUCGUUAAACAUUUCAAAAAAGGUUCUUUUAAAAAUUCUACUUUUUUACAAAAUAUUAACAGCAAAUGUAUAUAAAAUUAGGCUCAACCAUUUUCUUUAACAUCUUGACCUAAUUUUAGUUUUCUCCAGACUUGAGAAGAAUGAGCUCACCUUGAACCAGAGAGCUGCUGGUUCAGCUCUUGCUAUCUUGUAAAAGCUGACUGCUAAAUUUUCAGGAAUUUUGUGAGUUGACAUCUCAUUGGUAGCUUGAAAUUAGCCAUGGUGGGAGUAUUUAUAUUAUAGAAAUCAACAAGUGCUAUAAAUCAGAGCUUCUUCCCACUAGACAGCCAGUUCUUAAACAUACCAGGAUACCCUAGACCUGAAUUUUCUUGUCUUCCGUGAUGCUCAUAUAGGCUUGUGAGGCCUUCAAGACCAUCUACCUUUUUUUUUUCCCUUCUUCACAUUUUCUCUUUGAAUUAAUUAAAACUACGGUCUUUCUAUCCACUUGACCUCUUUCUGUGCUGUAUAGACUUUAAUGAGAAACCCAUGAAAGCUGUAGACUUUCUUAGAAUACACAUAUGCAAAUAAAAUUGUAUAUGCUGUUUCAAGAUGCUGUAUCAGUGGAUUUCUUGGAAUCCAUCAAAAGACACCCUAGGUAGAGGAGUUCCUGGACUGUCACUAACUUUCCGAAGGCUUUAGGCACCUUCAUAACUUGGCUCUGGUUUUCACCUGGGUUAAGGACAUCUGCUCAUAUUUUAGCUUUCUUUCUGGGUAGAGAUUGGGUUUUUCUCUAUUUCUUUCUGCUGACACCAUUCCUGUACCACCUGCCAGCUUUUUUGCAUUCUUACACCACGGGUACUGGCAUUUGGUUUGUUACACAGGCAGAGUUGGAAAACAAGAUUUGUAGUAACCUAUGUUCUAUUUCAGAACACCUUACUUUUCUUUUGUCUGGAGUAUUUUUUUACUCAUGCACUGGUCCUUUUCUUUUGCUCUUUGAAGCUAUGGGAUAUCUCAUUUCUUGUUAAGAUGUGUGCCCAACUUUCCCUUGGAACACAAAAAGCUUCAGCGUUCCCAUAAAUCUUAACUUUCUACCUCUGACAAAGACUUUCUUAUUUCAAGGACUCAAUAUUCUUUUCUUUAGCACUUAAAACAGACCAUAAUGUUGUUUUUAAGCAGUGGUAGAAAUGAAUUUCUCUAUAAUAAGUAUUUUAAUUCCAUGUUUUCACAUUCAACCUGAUCAUUUUCUCAGAACAAAGAAAGCUUAGUGCAGUGAAAAGAACUCAAGUUUUGGAAGUCAGAUUGUUGUAUUCUAACUUGGGAGUCUUUUGAGUAGUUAAUUAAUCUCUUUAACCUUAGUUUUCUCAACUAUAAUAGAAGAAGAAUAAUAUUUUCAUGUGAUUGUUGUGAAGACUGCAGUGUUUUCUAAAACUGUCUGAACUGAAACAAUUGAGUCAUUUGUUAAAAAGACAGAUUGUUAAGCUCGUGCCUGCUCUGGAGAGUUCAUUUUCAGUAGGUCUAGACAAGGCCUAUUAAAAAAUCAAUUCCCCAGGUGAUUUUUAUAUCACAGAAGUUCGGAAACACACCUCUCGUGUGUGUGUGUGUGUGUGUGUGUGUGUGUAGACAUUACUCCCUGAUUGAUGACAGCUUGCUUAUAUUAGUAAAUUCCAACUACUUUCCUAUUUAUUGCUGUGACAAAAAAUUAACACUGUAUUAGCUUAUAUUUUAAUUAAAUGAAGUAAAAUGAUGAUAAUAUACAUAUUAUCCACUGUAUAAUGGAUAAUGAUACAUAUUGUUUUUCAUUAAUAUUUUCAUAUAUGUGAGUUUUAUUUUCUGUUAAAUUUAAGCCAUUUAUCGGUGAAUAUAUUCCUCAACUUUGACUUAUGUAAUUCAAACAGAUAACAAAUAUGUGUCAUAUUGGUAAUUAUUUUCCCCUUACAAUAUUUUGAAUGCACAAUGUUGAUGUUCUAACAUUGAACUUUGAAGGUGUCCUUGGAGCAGUUUAAGCUGGAUUGGAAUUCUCAUAGAAGUGAUUACAGAUCUAUAAACAAGAGGAUCAGAUGAGUGAUGGCAUAUAGAUUUCACAAGGUGUAGAAACUUAGAGGCUUUUAAAUUUCCAAAAUUUUCAGCUUACAUUCCAUCAAAGUCAGAUACAAUUAAGAAGAUUACAAUGAGUUAAUUCUUUCUUCAAAUUUUCUGAUUGUGUAAUACUCAGCCUUAUGUCAUCACCACUCCCACUUUACUCACCUCCACCCCCCCCAGGAGGUGAGGAUGUCAGAGCUGAGGAUAUUUAUUUCUUUCUCUAUACCCUGUAUUAGGAUAUAAAAUAUAAAAAUAUCUUGAAGAGGGAGUUCCCAUUGUGGCGCACUGGUUAACAAAUCCGACCAGGAACCAUGACGUUGAGGGUUCGAUCCCCCGCCUUGCUCAGUGGGUUGGGGAUCCGGCAUUACCAUGAGCUGUGGUAUAGGCCGCAGAUGUGGCUCGGAUCC